rnacentral:rRNA from 1 species
UACGGAGGGGGCUAGCGUUGUUCGGAAUUACUGGGCGUAAAGCGCACGUAGGCGGCUUUGUAAGUUAGAGGUGAAAGCCCGGGGCUCAACUCCGGAAUUGCCUUUAAGACUGCAUCGCUAGAAUCGUGGAGAGGUGAGUGGAAUUCCGAGUGUAGAGGUGAAAUUCGUAGAUAUUCGGAAGAACACCAGUGGCGAAGGCGACUCACUGGACGCGUAUUGACGCUGAGGUGCGAAAGCGUGGGGAGCAAACAGG